rnacentral:rRNA from 1 species
UGGGGAAUAUUGGACAAUGGGCGAAAGCCUGAUCCAGCAAUGCCGCGUGAGUGAAGAAGGCCUUCGGGUUGUAAAGCUCUUUUACCCGGGAAGAUAAUGACUGUACCGGGAGAAUAAGCCCCGGCUAACUCCGUGCCAGCAGCCGCGGUAAUACGGAGGGGGCUAGCGUUGUUCGGAAUUACUGGGCGUAAAGCGUACGUAGGCGGCUUUCUAAGUCAGAGGUGAAAUCCCACGACUCAAUCGUGGAACUGCCUUUGAGACUGGAUCGCUUGAAGAUGGGAGAGGUAAGUGGAAUUCCGAGUGUAGAGGUGAAAUUCGUAGAUAUUCGGAAGAACACCAGUGGCGAAGGCGGCUUACUGGACCAUUCUUGACGCUGAGGUACGAAAGCGUGGGGAGCAAACA